GUCCUCUUAGCUCAGUUGGUUAGAGCGCUAGACUCUUAAUCUAGUGGUCGGGGGUUCGAGCCCCCCAGGGGACU
rfam:Babesia sp. Xinjiang scaffold10, whole genome shotgun sequence.